GCUUCCAUGGCAUAGUGGUAGUGCGUUCGCUUCGUAAGCGGAAGGUCGUGAGUUUAAUCCUCAUUCGAAGCU